AACACUGUUAACCUGCGGUACCUGCGGAAGGAUCAUUAUAGUAUAUGGAGUCUCCAUUCUAUAAACCCACUCUGCGUAUCUUGUAACUGUUGCUUCCAUGGGACUUGGUUCCGCCACACCGGCUUCACGGCUGGUGAGCGCCCAUGGAAGGAGAAACAAAACUCUUCUUUGAAAUGUAGUCAGUCUGAACAAGUUUUUAUAAACGUUAAAACUUUUAACAACGGAUCUCAGAUCGGAAGA
rnacentral:misc_RNA from 1 species